rnacentral:rRNA from 1 species
AUGAACGCUGGCGGCGUGCCUAGUACAUGCAAGUCGAGCGCACAGACGAGGAGCUUGCUCCUCUGACGUUAGCGGCGGACGGGUGAGUAACACGUGGAUAACCUACCUAUAAGACUGGGAUAACUUCGGGAAACCGGAGCUAAUACCGGAUAAUAUAUUGAACCGCAUGGUUCAAUAGUGAAAGACGGUUUUGCUGUCACUUAUAGAUGGAUCCGCGCCGCAUUAGCUAGUUGGUAAGGUAACGGCUUACCAAGGCAACGAUGCGUAGCCGACCUGAGAGGGUGAUCGGCCACACUGGAACUGAGACACGGUCCAGACUCCUACGGGAGGCAGCAGUAGGGAAUCUUCCGCAAUGGGCGAAAGCCUGACGGAGCAACGCCGCGUGAGUGAUGAAGGUCUUCGGAUCGUAAAACUCUGUUAUUAGGGAAGAACAAAUGUGUAAGUAACUAUGCACGUCUUGACGGUACCUAAUCAGAAAGCCACGGCUAACUACGUG